GAUGAACGCUGGCGGCGUGCCUAAUACAUGCAAGUCGAGCGAACAGAUCAGGAGCUUGCUCCUUUGACGUUAGCGGCGGACGGGUGAGUAACACGUGGGUAACCUACCUAUAAGACUGGAAUAACUCCGGGAAACCGGGGCUAAUGCCGGAUAACAUUUAGCACCGCAUGGUUCUAAAGUGAAAGAUGGUUUUGCUAUCACUUAUCGAUGGACCCGCGCCGUAUUAGCUAGUUGGUAAGGUAACGGCUUACCAAGGCACCGAUACGUAGCCGACCUGAGAGGGGGAUCGGCCACACUGGAACGUAGACACGGUCCAUACUCCUACGGGAGGCAGCAGUAGGGAAUCGGCCGCAAUGGGCGAAAGCCUGACGGAGCAACGCCGCGUGAGUGAUGAAGGUCUUCGGAUCGUAAAACUCUGUUAUUAGGGAAGAACAAAUGUGGAAGUAACUGUGCACGUCUUGACGGUACCUAAUCAGAAAGCCACGGCUAACUACGUG
rnacentral:rRNA from 1 species